GCUUACGGCCAUACCAGCCUGGGUACGCCCGAUCUCGUCUGAUCUCGGAAGCUAAGCAGGGUCGGGCCUGGUUAGUACUUGGAUGGGAGAACCCUGGGAAUACCAGGUGCUGUAAGCA
rnacentral:rRNA from 1 species